GACUUCGAAAAAUGCAAAUAAGAAUAUAAAUGGACGCUGCUAAAUUGAAUUCAAAUAAAAUUUGCCUAUUGGCCGGCGCGGGGCGUCUCGGAACGCGACUCGAACCUCGGACCUGCUCACGGGGCUGGAUGGAGAGAAGAUUACUAACGACGUUCAAAACAGCGCAUAAACAAAUUGUUGGCCUGAAACUCUGAAGUAAUCUGCAGCCUCAUCUGUUCUUCUAUCUCCAAGAAAAAGACAAUUAUAGCUACAUGAAUAUGACAAAAAGUGCUACCAUAACUAGUUUGCAACGAACGAAUAAGGUGAUUAGAAGUGAUGAGAUGAACAAUAUGAUCCCCUGAUGGUUAGAAUGGUGUUCACUGCGAAGAAGUGUUGCUCAAAAUGCUUGAAAACCCAAAAUUAUGUCGUCACUUUGAGACUAAAAAUGUUAAGUGACUAGUAACUGCACGAUAUGCAAAUCCUAAACAAGUAGUUUCCGGGAUGUUUUGAUCUUAUAUGCUUUAUUUGAAUUAUCUAAAAAAAUCUGGAUUUUUAAUAAUAUUAUUUUGUUGAGUCCUUAAUAAUAAUUAAAAUGUGGAAAAAGA